rnacentral:tRNA from 1 species
GAGGAUAUAGCUCAGUGGUAGAGCACAUGCUUAGCAUGCAUGAGGUCCUGGGUUCAGUCCCUGGUACCUCCG